AAAACAACGCUAGAAAAGGAAGUAGUAAGAAGCUGGAAGUUUUAGAGAGCACAUGGGUGGUGGAAAUGUGUACGGAUGCUUUUGAACUCGCCUUUGAGUUGCUCGUGCCGAAAAAAUAGUAAGUGUGAGCGGUGACGACCGUUACAACGUUUGAGGCCUUUUUUAAAAAGGCAAAGUUAGGUGGUACCACGUAGAUUACGUCCUAUAA
rnacentral:ncRNA from 1 species